GCCUUGGUGGUGUAGUGGUAGAGCACGUGUCCCCGGAUAGGACGAAGCGCGUUAUCUAUUCCCGCCUGAGGCC